GCACACACACACACACUCAUUUUUUCAGACCUCAGACCACAGGCACAUCCUUCUUUUCUCUUCUGCUGGGUCUUGCACCAAAAUAGUGCUGAGAAGUGGUCAGUUAGGCAACGGGUACAAUGGUGAAGGACUGCGGUGCUGUGGGACCCACACAGCAGUGUGUACCUCUCUGGAUUUUACUGGUCUGCCACCAGGUGUCGGCUGAAGUUUUGAGAGGGAAUAUCUAUUUCAUUGAUGGGGAAUCAGGCAUUCUCACUGUACCGGCACCUCCACUGAUAAAUGGGACCGAAUUUAGCUGGGAGUGGACGCCACACCACGGUGGGCUGACUGACAUCCAGGUAGCAACAGUGACGAUGCAUUCUCAACGCUCAUUAUGGAUACUAAAACAUCAGAGCUUUAGGCUAGGGAAUUAUUUUGAGAUUUUAAUGGCCAAGGAUUUCCAGAAUGCCGGAGUUUAUUCCUUCAAACAAACACAACCAGCUUUGGCUCUGCUCGUGCAAUUUGAAAUCUUUGCAGUAAAAAUCACGUCGUUUUCAGAAUACCCAAUGGGUUUUGAUGUGCCCGGUUGGUGUGAGAUUUCCCAUCUUCCGAAAUCUUUCACACUGCAGUGGGAGAAGGAAGGAGAUCCCACUGCCAACACCACACUGCUCUACAACAACACCGCUUACAUCAUCAUCCACAAUGCCAAUCUACAGUGCAAUGGGAAGUACAUCUGCAGAGUGAGGAGGGAAAACGGACAGCCUUUAUUUACUGCAAGAAGCGAAUUAACAGUCACCGAAUAUACAUUUGGAAGAUCCAGCACUCUCUACAGAGGCAGCUCCAACAGCAGUGCAGUGGAGCUGACUUGCCAGUCCAGCCGUGCAUACGGGAGAGCCGCGUGGUCACGGCAACAGCGGCCCGCAAUGACCCCGGAAGCACUGGUUUCGACUGGCAAGAGCCAGGCCGCUCAAACCGAGAGGAAGACCGACAGAGAAAGGUUCUCCUUUUUGGGUUUCAACGGACAGCGUUUCCCCCUCCGCAUUGCUCCACUCAAGUUUGAAGACGGUGGCGUAUACACGUGUCAACUUGGUAAUUACGUUUUUGCCAAAGUGACCCUGGUAAAUAUUCAGGUAUCAGCGGAGCCCCCUGGUGGUGUGUCCAGGUAUCAGCCAGUGGUGUUGAACUGCAUGGUGUCGGAAGUGACUGAGACGCUGACCCUGGCCUGGCUGAGGAUGGAGGGGCUCAGGGGAGUUCUGGUCAAACAGCAGGUCCUGGGGUGGAGUGCAUCUGCGAGGAACCUGAGUCUGACCCUGCCUAGGCUGAGCGAAGAUCAGCUGCACUGGGAGUGUGCCGUCUUCAGAGAGAGCAUGCUCAGAGCGCGGGUCCCUCUGCAUCUCACUCUGCUGCCGGGUAACACCCUGCCCACCAUCACAGCUACACACAGGCUCCACCCACCAUCACAGCUACACACAGGCUCCACCCACCUUCACUGCUACACACAGGCUCCAACCACCAUCACAGCUGAACACAGGCUCCACCCACCAUCACAGCUACACACAGGCUCCACCCACCAUCACAGCUACACAUGGACUCCGCACACCAUCACAGCUACACACAGGCUCCACCCACCAUCACAGCUACACACAGGCUCCACCCACCUUCACUGCUACACACAGGCUCCAACCACCAUCACAGCUGAACACAGGCUCCACCCACCAUCACAGCUACACACAGGCUCCACCCACCAUCACAGCUACACAUGGGCUCCGCACACCAUCACAGCUACACACGGACUCCGCACACCAUCACAGCUACACACGGACUCUGCACACCAACACGGCUACACACAGGCUCCACCCACCAUCACAGCUACACACAGGCUCCACCCACCAUCACAGCUACACACGGACUCUGCACACCAUCACAGCUACACACGGACUCCGCACACCAUCAAAGCUACACACAGACUCCGCACACGAUCACAGCUACACACGGACUCCGCACACCAUCACAGCUACACACGGACUAUGCACACCAACACAGCUACACACGAACUCCGCACACCAUCACAGCUACACACAAGCUCCACCCACCAUCACAGCUACACACGGACUCUGCACACCAUCACGGCUACACACAGGCUCCACCUACCUUGACAGCUCCACACAGACUCCGCACAGCAACACAGCUAUGUCAAAUUUGCUCUGAUUGUUGCAUCAGAAGUAUUUUUGUGAAGUGAGACUUGCCUUGUUGCAAAGGCAAAUCUCAUCAAACAGGAGGAAGUCUAAUGAUAUGUGGUUUAUCACAUCAAGAGCUAGGCCUGGCUUUUCAGGGUCUAGCCUGUUCUAGUUGGGUUAAAGAAAAAGUUACUUAUAACACAAUCACCAACUUUAUGGGAAAACUGUUGAGGCCUCUGUAAAUUUGGACCCUAUAUCCCACUGAUGGAAAUAAUUAAUACUUGACAUGGCAUAUCAGGGAAUAUUAUAACAGCUGAAACAAUGGGCCAGAAUUAUCCAUUUUUCUUAUAUUAUCAUUUUCAUCACUUUUUUUUUUUGUGACUGUUGUUUUCAAUAAUAUUCUGUAAUGUCAUGGUCCUCCAGCAGCUAUUUGAGGCUUCCUUGUGGCCUGCAGCCACCUGGUUCAGAAAGACUGAUACGCAAUCAUUUCUUUUUCUGUGUAACUCACAACAACUCACCCCCAGACCUUCCAUGACUUUCCAGCUGGUCCCUCCCACACAAUUUGGGAAGCAGUGAUGUAAUGCAUUCCUAUGUUUCUCAGAAGGGAACAACAUGCCCAUGAUUGUUGCGAUGUGUGUGGGAGUGGUGUGUGUCGGGAUGCUGACCAGUGUACUGCUGCUUUACUACAGGAGGAGAGCAGCUGCAGCUCUGGCCGCAUCACCAGGAACAGGGAACCACACCCACGCCAAAUUCGAAGCUGUCUACUGUGAGGUCACAGAUUUACAGGGAGAGGGAGACAACCCCAAUGCAGAUAAAGCAGCUGGAAGUGAAGUCCUUUAUUCUGCUAUUUCACUGGGAGGCUCUAGCACAGAUCAGAAGAAAAGGCAAAAUCCUGAACCAGGCUCUGAAGGACAGGCUGAUGUGGUGUAUUCGGUCCUCAGAAUAAGAUGAGACAUGAAACCGCAUUCCCCUUUCGCACAGAAUUCAAAGACCAAAGAGUGGAUCAGCCCCAUUACCUGUAUCUCAGUCUUUAGCAUUCCACUGCAGUUGUGACACCGGCAAUGUAACACGUAUGCAUACGUUAGAAAUGUAAGUGAUAAUCCAAUUGCAAAAUAUAUAAAAUAUUUAAUAUGUCAAUUUAUUUUUUGUGAAAUAUAUAAUAGUACAAGAACACAUCUGUAAAUAUGUAGGUGUAUUUUAGGACCUACAGCUUUGUACUAUGCUAAGUGUACUAUAUUUUCAAUGAAUGUUAAACAUAUCUCUCCUUUUUAUAUUAAUUUGAUACAAAGAGUAUUUAAAAAUAAACACAUCAAAAUUUAA